rnacentral:rRNA from 1 species
AGUGAACGCUGGCGGUAGGCCUAACACAUGCAAGUCGAACGGCAGCACAGUAAGAGCUUGCUCUUACGGGUGGCGAGUGGCGGACGGGUGAGGAAUACAUCGGAAUCUACUUUUUCGUGGGGGAUAACGUAGGGAAACUUACGCUAAUACCGCAUACGACCUACGGGUGAAAGCAGGGGAUCUUCGGACCUUGCGCGAUUGAAUGCGCCGAUGUCGGAUUAGCUAGUUGGCGGGGUAAAGGCCCACCAAGGCGACGAUCCGUAGCUGGUCUGAGAGGAGGAUCAGCCACACUGGAACUGAGACACGGUUCAGACUCCUACGGGAGGCAGCAGUGGGGAAUAUUGGACAAUAGGCGCAAGCCUGAUCCAGCCAUACCGCGUGGGUGAAGAAGGCCUUCGGGUUGUAAAGCCCUUUUGUUGGGAAAGAAAAGCAGCAGGUUAAUACCCCGCUGUUCUGACGGUACCCAAAGAAUAAGCACCGGCUAACUUCGUG